rnacentral:hammerhead_ribozyme from 1 species
AACUGGUCGGGAGCUGAUGUCGCUCUCCUAAUGAGGCUAUAGGAGGCCGAAACUAGUU